rnacentral:rRNA from 1 species
CGGGAAGAGCUCAAAUUUAAAAUCUGGCGGUGUAUUCCGUCCGAGUUGUAGUCUAGAGAAGCAUCAUCCGUGCUGGACCAUGUACAAGUCUCUUGGAACAGAGCGUCAUAGAGGGUGAGAAUCCCGU